rnacentral:lncRNA from 1 species
GUCCAUGUGCCCUGCUCCUUCUGCUACCCCCAAGACAGCUGGACUGACUCUGACCCACUUCACAGCUAUUGGUUAGGGGAAGUGGCCCUUCCAGCCUCAGAUGCUCCAGUGGCCACAAACAACCCAGAUAGAAAAGUGCAGGAGGAGACCCAGGGACAGUUGCAACUUUCCAGGGACCGACAGAUCAAUGACUGCUCCCUGAGGGGUCAUACUUCUUUCACAUGGAGGGAGGGAAUAUGAAAUGGAGAUACAAAAUUAACCAGUUGUCCAUGCAUGUGAUGCGUCCAACCCACAGGCCCGACAUCUUCAUCCCAAUAACCCUGGAGUCGGCUGCCCCAGCAAUCUAACCUGCUCUGUGCCUUGGGCCUGUGAGCAGGGGAUGCCUCCGACAAUCACCUGGAUGGGG